rnacentral:lncRNA from 1 species
UAAAGAAAGCGAGAUAUGCAACGCAUCCAUCUUUUUAUUAACAAGUUUCUAUUUUUCUUUAGGCGUUCUGAUUAGGCGAACUGAGUUGUACGUGAUAAGUUCCUGUGAGCUUAUUCAUAGGCAUUCUGAUCAUUACAUUAGGCGAUAUAUCAAGCGGUUAGUCUAGGAAUUCUAGCUAGACAAAGCGAGAAACUUAUUCUACCAAGUGACACAGAAGGCAAUUUAGCACGCAGAUUGUCUAGGUGUUCAGUCUGAGUGCUAUAUUUCCUCGACACUUUACUCUUUCAAGGCGUUUACACCAACAUAAUACUAUAAUACAACACACCUUUAUGGCUUUAUAACCCUAAUGAAAUAAAACCCACUACAAGAAUUUGGAGUUCUACCGAUGCAACUGCACAUUGCAAGAAAUCCUUUGUGCGUCGGUGAAGGCUACCACCACACAGAAGGAAACAGCGGCAAGGGCAUCAUAAAUAACGUGUCGUAAGAGGUAAUGAUGACACAGAAACGUGAAGAUGUU